GACGAACCGGACAACCGUUAUUCGGAAUUACUGGGCUUAAAGGGUUCGUAGGCGGCCAUGUAAGUGCGGUGUGAAAUCCCUCGGCUCAACCGAGGAACUGCGCUUCAUACUGCAUGGCUUGAGGGAGACAGGGGUAAGCGGAACUGAUGGUGGAGCGGUGAAAUGCGUUGAUAUCAUCAGGAACACCGGUGGCGAAAGCGGCUUACUGGGUCUCUUCUGACGCUGAGGAACGAAAGCUAGGGUAGCGAACGGG
rnacentral:rRNA from 1 species